rnacentral:rRNA from 1 species
UACGUAGGGUGCAAGCGUUGUCCGGAAUUAUUGGGCGUAAAGAGCUCGUAGGCGGUCUGUCGCGUCGGCUGUGAAAACCCGGGGCUCAACCCCGGGCCUGCAGUCGAUACGGGCAGACUAGAGUGCGGUAGGGGAGACUGGAAUUCCUGGUGUAGCGGUGAAAUGCGCAGAUAUCGGGAGGAACACCAGUGGCGCAAGCGGCUAACUGGCCGAGACCUGACGCUGAGACGCGACGGCGUGGGGAGCAAACCGG